rnacentral:tRNA from 1 species
GCCUGGGUAGCUCAUCGGUAGAGCAUCACACUUUUAAUCUGAGGAUUCAGGGUUCAAGUCCCUACUCAGGGG